rnacentral:rRNA from 1 species
AAAACGACUCUCGGCAACGGAUAUCUCGGCUCUCGCAUCGAUGAAGAACGCAGCGAAAUGCGAUACUUGGUGUGAAUUGCAGAAUCCCGUGAACCAUCGAGUCUUUGAACGCAAGUUGCGCCCAAAGUCCUCGGGCUGAGGGCACGUCUGCCUGGGUGUCACGC